CCUACGGGAGGCAGCAGUGAGGAAUAUUGGUCAAUGGACGAGAGUCUGAACCAGCCAAGUAGCGUGAAGGAUGACUGCCCUAUGGGUUGUAAACUUCUUUUAUAUGGGAAUAAAAUGUUCCACGUGUGGGAUUUUGUAUGUACCAUAUGAAUAAGGAUCGGCUAACUCCGGGCCAGCCGCCGCGGUAAUACGGAGGGUCCGAGCGUUAUCCGGAUUUAUUGGGGUUAAAGGGAGCGUAGGUGGAUUGUUAAGUCAGUUGUGAAAGUUUGCGGCUCAACCGUAAAAUUGCAGUUGAAACUGGCAGUCUUGAGUACAGUAGAGGUGGGCGGAAUUCGUGGUGUAGCGGUGAAAUGCGUAGAUAUCACGAAGAACUCCGAUUGCGAAGGCAGCUCACUGGACUGCAACUGACACUGAGGUUCGAAAGUGUGGGUAUCAAACAGGAUUAGAUACCCCUGUAGUC
rnacentral:rRNA from 1 species